rnacentral:rRNA from 1 species
CAGGCCUAACACAUGCAAGUCGAACGAGAAAGGGGAGCAAUCCCUGAGUAAAGUGGCGCACGGGUGAGUAACACGUGACUAACCUACCCUCGAGCGGGGAAUAACCAAGGGAAACCUUGGCUAAUACCGCAUAAUACCUACGGGUCAAAGGAGUAAUCCGCUUGAGGAGGGGGUCGCGGCCGAUUAGCUAGUUGGCGGGGUAAUGGCCACCAAGGCAGUGAUCGGUAUCCGGCCUGAGAGGGCGCACGGACACACUGGAACUGAAACACGGUCCAGACUCCUACGGGAGGCAGCAGUGGGGAAUUUUGCGCAAUGGGGGAAACCCUGACGCAGCAACGCCGCGUGGAGGAUGAAGUCCCUUGGGACGUAAACUCCUUUCGAUCGGGACGAUUAUGACGGUACCGGAAGAAGAAGCCCCGGCUAACUUCGUGCCAGCAGCCGCGGUAAUACGAGGGGGGCAAGCGUUGUUCGGAAUUAUUGGGCGUAAAGGGAGUGUAGGCGGUUUGGUAAGUCUCGUGUGAAAUCUUCAGGCUCAACCUGAAGUCUGCACGAGAAACUGCCGGGCUUGAGUAUGGGAGAGGUGAGUGGAAUUCCUGGUGUAGCGGUGAAAUGCGUAGAUAUCAGGAGGAACACCUGUGGCGAAAGCGGCUCACUGGACCAUAACUGACGCUGAGACUCGAAAGCUAGGGGAGCAAACAGGAUUAGAUACCCUGGGUAGUCCUAGCCCUAAACGAUGACUGCUUGAUGUGGCGGGUACCCAAUCCUGCCGUGUCGAAGCUAACGCGUUAAGCAGUCCGCCUGGGGAGUACGGUCGCAAGGCUGAAACUCAAAGGAAUUGACGGGGGCCCGCACAAGCGGUGGAGCAUGUGGUUAAAUUCGACGCAACGCGGAGAACCUUACCUACCCUUGACAUCCUGCGAAUCUGGCUGAGAGGCUGGAGUGCCGAAAGGAACGCAGAGACAGGUGCUGCAUGGCUGUCGUCAGCUCGUGUUGUGAGAUGUUGGGUUAAGUCCCGUAACGAGCGCAACCCUUGUCCUUAGUUGCCAUCAUUUAGUUGGGGACUCUAAGGAGACUGCCGGUGAUGAACCGGAGGAAG